AGAGUUUGAUCAUGGCUCAGAUUGAACGCUGGCGGCAGGCCUAACACAUGCAAGUCGAACGGUAGCACAGAGAGCUUGCUCUCGGGGUGACGAGUGGCGGACGGGUGAGUAAUGUCUGGGAAACUGCCUGAUGGAGGGGGAUAACUACUGGAAACGGUGGCUAAUACCGCAUAACGUCGCAAGACCAAAGAGGGGGACCUUCGGGCCUCUUGCCAUCAGAUGUGCCCAGAUGGGAUUAGCUGGUUGGUGAGGUAACGGCUCACCAAGGCGACGAUCCCUAGCUGGUCUGAGAGGAUGACCAGCCACACUGGAACUGAGACACGGUCCAGACUCCUACGGGAGGCAGCAGUGGGGAAUAUUGCACAAUGGGCGCAAGCCUGAUGCAGCCAUGCCGCGUGUAUGAAGAAGGCCUUCGGGUUGUAAAGUACUUUCAGCGGGGAGGAAGGUGUUGUGGUUAAUAACCGCAGCAAUUGACGUUACCCGCAGAAGAAGCACCGGCUAACUCCGUGCCAGCAGCCGCGGUAAUACGGAGGGUGCAAGCGUUAAUCGGAAUUACUGGGCGUAAAGCGCACGCAGGCGGUCUGUCAAGUCGGAUGUGAAAUCCCCGGGCUCAACCUGGGAACUGCAUUCGAAACUGGCAGGCUUGAGUCUUGUAGAGGGGGGUAGAAUUCCAGGUGUAGCGGUGAAAUGCGUAGAGAUCUGGAGGAAUACCGGUGGCGAAGGCGGCCCCCUGGACAAAGACUGACGCUCAGGUGCGAAAGCGUGGGGGAGCAAACAGGAUUAGAUACCCUGGUAGUCCACGCCGUAAACGAUGUCUACUUGGAGGUUGUGCCCUUGAGGCGUGGCUUCCGGAGCUAACGCGUUAAGUAGACCGCCUGGGGAGUACGGCCGCAAGGUUAAAACUCAAAUGAAUUGACGGGGGCCCGCACAAGCGGUGGAGCAUGUGGUUUAAUUCGAUGCAACGCGAAGAACCUUACCUGGUCUUGACAUCCACAGAAGAAUCCAGAGAUGGAUUUGUGCCUUCGGGAACUGUGAGACAGGUGCUGCAUGGCUGUCGUCAGCUCGUGUUGUGAAAUGUUGGGUUAAGUCCCGCAACGAGCGCAACCCUUAUCCUUUGUUGCCAGCGAUUAGGUCGGGGAACUCAAAGGAGACUGCAGUGAUAAACUGGAGGAAGGUGGGGAUGACGUCAAGUCAUCAUGGCCCUUACGACCAGGGCUACACACGUGCUACAAUGGCGCAUACAAAGAGAAGCGACCUCGCGAGAGCAAGCGGACCUCAUAAAGUGCGUCGUAGUCCGGAUUGGAGUCUGCAACUCGACUCCAUGAAGUCGGAAUCGCUAGUAAUCGUGGAUCAGAAUGCCACGGUGAAUACGUUCCCGGGCCUUGUACACACCGCCCGUCACACCAUGGGAGUGGGUUGCAAAAGAAGUAGGUAGCUUAACCUUCGGGAGGGCGCUUACCACUUUGUGAUUCAUGACUGGGGUGAAGUCGUAACAAGGUAACCGUAGGGGAACCUGCGGUUGGAUCACCU
rnacentral:rRNA from 1 species